UGGGCCCCACCGGGCACUGUGCACNCCCUGUUUNCNCAUCCNCUCACNNGUGUGCANCNUNUNUAUUUNGGUGGAUCGGGAGACGUCCUCUUCCUUNNNNGGNUCUANCUCUUUACNAACCCNCUUUANCUGAGUGUCAUGGAAUGUUUUUCNCGUUUAACCCNAUACAAUGUAACUUUAGUACGGAUCCUUGGUGCCGCAUCUGAAAAUUUCGAAUGCGAUAAGUGGGUGAAUUGCAGAAUAAUGAAUCUAAAGCUUUGAACGCAGCUUGGCCCCUUGGUUAUUCCUCGGGGCAUGCCUGUUUGAGUAUUGCGAACACUGGACUCCGGGUCUUGCCAUGAUGAAUGGGACUUUGGGGGUUUGCUGGCCCUGUGGCCGGCUCCUGGAUGAAUGGGGUUUUUGGGCUCACGGGUAAACCUCUACGCGUUACGGUGCCCAUACUCGAUAGUUAUUGGGGCUCAUAACAGCGAGGACUUUGAUGCUAUCUCAAUCGUGAGACUACCCUAACUUAUCAUAUCAAUCGGAGGACAACUACACACAUGUGAUUCCCCUAUAACUGCGAGUAGAAGCAAGAGCAUAAUCGGCGGCUGUAAUUAUGGAAGUUUCUGCUGGACCGUUGUGUUAUCCCGCUGGACCGUGUAAAUCCGGGAAGAACCUUUCGGACCCGGGACUAAUACUUCCCG
rnacentral:rRNA from 1 species